rnacentral:rRNA from 1 species
CCUACGGGGGGCAGCAGUGGGGAAUAUUGCACAAUGGGGGAAACCCUGAUGCAGCAACGCCGCGUGAGUGAUGACGUCCUUCGGGUUGUAAAGCUCUAUCUGCAGGGACGAUAAUGACGGUACCUGACUAAGAAGCCACGGCUAACUACGUGCCAGCAGCCGCGGUAAUACGUAGGUGGCGAGCGUUGUCCGGAUUUACUGGGCGUAAAGGGAGCGUAGGCGGAGCUGUAAGUGUGAUGUGAAAUACUGGGGCUCAACUUGAGUGCUGCAUUUGAAACUGGUAGUCUGGAGUGCAGGAGAGGAGAACGGAAUUCCUAGUGUAGCGGUGAAAUGCGUAGAGAUUAGGAAGAACACCAGUGGCGAAGGCGAUUCACUGGACUGUAACUGACGUUGAGGCUCGAAAGCGUGGGGAGCAAACAGGAUUAGAUACCCGAGUAGUC